rnacentral:rRNA from 1 species
GACGAACGCUGGCGGCGUGCUUAACACAUGCAAGUCGAACGGAAAGGCCCUGCUUUUGUGGGGUGCUCGAGUGGCGAACGGGUGAGUAACACGUGAGUAACCUGCCCUUGACUUUGGGAUAACUUCAGGAAACUGGGGCUAAUACCGGAUAGGAGCUCCUGCUGCAUGGUGGGGGUUGGAAAGUUUCGGCGGUUGGGGAUGGACUCGCGGCUUAUCAGCUUGUUGGUGGGGUAGUGGCUUACCAAGGCUUUGACGGGUAGCCGGCCUGAGAGGGUGACCGGCCACAUGGGGACUGAGAUACGGCCCAGACGCCUACGGGAGGCAGCAGUGGGGAAGAUUGCACAAGGGGCGGAAGCCUGAUGCAGCAACGCCGCGUGCGGGAUGACGGCCUUCGGGUUGUAAACCGCUUUCGCCUGUGACGAAGCGUGAGUGACGGUAAUGGGUAAAGAAGCACCGGCUAACUACGUG